rnacentral:rRNA from 1 species
GAUGAACGCUGGCGGCGUGCUUAACACAUGCAAGUCGAACGGUGAAGGCGGAGCUUGCUCUGCUGGAUCAGUGGCGAACGGGUGAGUAACACGUGAGCAAUCUGCCCCUGACUCUGGGAUAAGCGCUGGAAACGGCGUCUAAUACUGGAUACGAGCUGCGAAGGCAUCUUCAGCAGCUGGAAAGAACUUCGGUCAGGGAUGAGCUCGCGGCCUAUCAGCUUGUUGGUGAGGUAACGGCUCACCAAGGCGUCGACGGGUAGCCGGCCUGAGAGGGUGACCGGCCACACUGGGACUGAGACACGGCCCAGACUCCUACGGGAGGCAGCGGUGGGGAAUAUUGCACAAUGGGCGAAAGCCUGAUGCAGCAACGCCGCGUGAGGGACGACGGCCUUCGGGUUGUAAACCUCUUUUAGCAGGGAAGAAGCGAAAGUGACGGUACCUGCAGAAAAAGCGCCGGCUAACUACGUG